GAGUUCUCAAACCAUGCUGAUUUUAUUGGCGUGGCUUUGGAUGUGGGGGUUUCUGUUUGCGGGCUUUUGAAGUCGGCUCCCCUGAAAUGCAUUAGUGGUAUCUGAGCAGAGACUACUUACAGGUGUGAUAAAUUAUCUAUCUAUGCCUCGGUAUGCUGCAUGAAACAGAUUGCACUGCUUAUAACGAGUGGAAAUUUGACAA
rnacentral:misc_RNA from 1 species